rnacentral:rRNA from 1 species
CCUACGGGAGGCAGCAGUGGGGAAUCUUGCGCAAUGCGCGAAAGCGUGACGCAGCAACGCCGCGUGGGUGAAGAAGGCCUUCGGGUUGUAAAGCCCUUUCAGUUGGGACGAAGCUUCGCCGGUGAAUAGCCGGCCGGAGUGACGGUACCUUCAGAAGAAGCCCCGGCUAACUACGUGCCAGCAGCCGCGGUAAUACGUAGGGGGCUAGCGUUGUCCGGAAUCAUUGGGCGUAAAGCGCGUGUAGGCGGUUCGAUUAGUCUGCUGUGAAAGUCGGGGGCUCAACCCUCGAAAGCCGGUGGAUACUGUCGGGCUAGAGUGCGGAAGAGGCGAGUGGAAUUCCUGGUGUAGCGGUGAAAUGCGCAGAUAUCAGGAGGAACACCGAUUGCGAAGGCAGCUCGCUGGGACGUUACUGACGCUGAGACGCGAAAGCGUGGGGAGCA